CUAAGGAUGUACUUUAAAAUUUAAAAUUCUAUGGGAAGUUUUUCUCGUGCCUUUAUAGCUCCUUCAAAACACUUACCUCCUUUUGCUUUUAGCUUCUUGUUCAGAUUUAUUGCGGAAAUUAAUGGGUAUUAUGUCAAAGUUUUUUGGGCUCUCUUUCUGGCUGAUCUUGAUGAUCCUUGCCUUGCAUGAACAACCAAGAGCGUUAGAAGCCAGGCCAUCACUGGUAGUACUCGGAGAUCAUGAUCAUGGUCACCAAGGGUAUAACUCAAAAAUGUUUGUGGCGACUCUUGGGAUUGUGUGCAAGUGUUGUGAUGGUAUAAAAGGUGAUUGCAGAAGCACGUGGGACGCAGCAGCUUCUUGCCCCAACAUGCUGCUCCAAUGCCUUCCAUGGAAACUUCAGUGAUUCAGCAAUAUUAGUAUGACUACUAAUUUAGUUCUAUCAUGUUAUUGAUUAUAUUAUAUAUAUGCAUCUACCUAUAAUAUUGCUUUAUAAAUUAGCCUCGUUGGACAAACGAGAGUUGGUUUGUUCGUAUUAAUAAUACUCCGCUUGGAUUUCUGGUUUUAUGUGGAGCAUUGAUACCAUGACGUGCUUGCUUCAAAAAAUAAGAUGUUUAUGCAUAGAGAAAUAAUAUAUUCAGUCGUGUA